CGUGUGCUUACAAGUAGUCAGAGCCCGUUAAUGGGUGAUGGCGUGCCUUUUGUAGAAUGAACCGGCGAGUUACGAUUUGAUGCAAGGUUAAGCAGUAAAUGUGGAGCCGUAGCGAAAGCGAGUCUGAAUAGGGCGUUUAGUAUUUGGUCGUAGACCCGAAACCAGGUGAUCUACCCUUGGUCAGGUUGAAGUUCAGGUAACACUGAAUGGAGGACCGAACCGACUUACGUUGAAAAGUGAGCGGAUGAACUGAGGGUAGCGGAGAAAUUCCAAUCGAACCUGGAGAUAGCUGGUUCUCUCCGAAAUAGCUUUAGGGCUAGCCUCAAGUGAUGAUUAUUGGAGGUAGAGCACUGUUUGGACGAGGGGCCCCUCUCGGGUUACCGAAUUCAGACAAACUCCGAAUGCCAAUUAAUUUAACUUGGGAGUCAGAACAUGGGUGAUAAGGUCCGUGUUCGAAAGGGAAACAGCCCAGACCACCAGCUAAGGUCCCAAAAUAUAUGUUAAGUGGAAAAGGAUGUGGCGUUGCCCAGACAACUAGGAUGUUGGCUUAGAAGCAGCCAUCAUUUAAAGAGUGCGUAAUAGCUCACUAGUCGAGUGACACUGCGCCGAAAAUGUACCGGGGCUAAACAUAUUACCGAAGCUGUGGAUUGUCCUUUGGACAAUGGUAGGAGAGCGUUCUAAGGGCGUUGAAGCAUGAUCGUAAGGACAUGUGGAGCGCUUAGAAGUGAGAAUGCCGGUGUGAGUAGCGAAAGACGGGUGAGAAUCCCGUCCACCGAUUGACUAAGGUUUCCAGAGGAAGGCUCGUCCGCUCUGGGUUAGUCGGGUCCUAAGCUGAGGCCGACAGGCGUAGGCGAUGGAUAACAGGUUGAUAUUCCUGUACCACCUAUAAUCGUUUUAAUCGAUGGGGGGACGCAGUAGGAUAGGCGAAGCGUGCGAUUGGAUUGCACGUCUAAGCAGUAAGGCUGAGUAUUAGGCAAAUCCGGUACUCGUUAAGGCUGAGCUGUGAUGGGGAGAAGACAUUG
rnacentral:rRNA from 1 species